rnacentral:rRNA from 1 species
UACGGAGGGGGCUAGCGUUGUUCGGAAUUACUGGGCGUAAAGCGCGCGUAGGCGGACCUGCAAGUCGGGGGUGAAAGCCCGAGGCUCAACCUCGGAACUGCCUUCGAUACUGCGGGUCUCGAGUCCGGGAGAGGUGAGUGGAAUUCCUAGUGUAGAGGUGAAAUUCGUAGAUAUUAGGAAGAACACCAGUGGCGAAGGCGGCUCACUGGCCCGGUACUGACGCUGAGGCGCGAAAAGCGGUGGGGAGCAAACAGGG